rnacentral:rRNA from 1 species
GACGAACGCUGGCGGCGUGCUUAACACAUGCAAGUCGAACGGAAAGGCCCUGCUUUUGUGGGGUGCUCGAGUGGCGAACGGGUGAGUAACACGUGAGUAACCUGCCCUUGACUUUGGGAUAACUUCAGGAAACUGGGGCUAAUACCGGAUAGGAGCUCCUGCUGCAUGGUGGGGGUUGGAAAGUUUCGGCGGUUGGGGAUGGACUCGCGGCUUAUCAGCUUGUUGGUGGGGUAGUGGCUUACCAAGGCUUUGACGGGUAGCCGGCCUGAGAGGGUGACCGGCCACAGUGGGACUGAGGUACGGCCCAGACUCCUACGGGAGGCAGGAGUGGAGAAUAUUGCACGAUGGGCGGAAGCCUGAUGCAGCAACGCCGCGUGCGGGAUGACGGCCUUCGGGUUGUAAACCGCUUUCGCCUGUGACGAGGCGUGAGUGACGGUAAUGGGUAAAGAAGCACCGGCUAACUACGU